UUUUUUUCCUGAGAGUACUCAUUUGGCAUUUAUUCUGACUCCUUUACCCAAUCUGGCUGUUGCUGUUGGAACUGUGAUGGGUUUCUUCACUUCUUAUUUGGAGCCAGACCCUUUCUAUUUAAACUAUGCUACCCUUUGGUCUGAUUCUUUCAUAGAUGGGCUGUUUCUACUGAAACUGUGCUGGCCUUUGGUCUGGUUCCUUCUGGAUCCAGACUUUUUGUUGAAACUGUGCUCUUCUGGAAUUUUUCUCUUUGCUCUAGAGAAAAACUUCUAGGAAUUGGAGUGUUAGCUAUCAAAAUGCUUUGAGGGUAGCAUCUACUUACCAACUGGGACUCUGGCCACUUUUAUCUUUAAAAACUAUGAUCCCUGGGGCAUCUGGGUGGCUCAGUUGGCUGAGUGUCCAACUCUUGUUUUCAGCUCAGGUCAUGAUCUCAGGGUCCUAGGAUUGAGUCCCUCAUUGGGCUCUUAGCUUGGUGUCUGCUGGAGAUUCUCCCUCUCUCUCCCUACUCAUGCACUCUCUCUCUAAAAUAAAUAAGGGAUGCCUGGGUGGCUCAGCGGUUGAGCGUCUGCCUUGGGCUCAGGGUGUGAUUCUGGGGUCCUGGGAUCAAGUCCCACAUUGGGCUCCCUGCAGAGAGCCUGCCUCUCUCUCUGUGUCUCUCAUGAGUAAAUAAAUGAAAUCUUUAAAAAUAAAUAAAAUAAGUAGAUCUUAAAAAAAAAAAAAAAACGAUCCCUUAGCAUAAUACUGGCUAGAUUCAUCCAUGUCAUUACAAAUGGCAAGAUUCCAUUCCUUUUUUGGCUGAGUAAUAUUCCAAUAUAUAUAUAUAUAUAUAUGUAUUUGGACUAAUGUUUUUACAUGCAAAGCUAAAGUACUUGGGAACCAAGUACUGGGAGAGGCAGGUUUUAUAUAUAUAUAUAUAGGCAUAUAUAUAUGGCAUAUAUAUAUGCCACAUCUUUAUCUGUCAGUUGAUGGACAUUUGGGCUGUUUCCAUAGUUUUACUAUUGUAGAUAAUGCUAGUAUAAACAUUGGAGCUAGAGAGUAUUAUGCUAAGCAAAAUAAGUUAGAGAAAGACAUACACCAUAUAAUUUCACUAAUAUGUGAACUUUAAGAAACAAAACAAAUGAGCAAACGGAAAAACAAGAGGGAGAUAAACCAAGAAACAGACUCUUAAAUAUAGAGUACAAACUGAUGGUUCCAGGGGUGGGGGUAUGCAGGAGGAGGUAGGGAGGAUGGGUUAAAUAGGUGACUGAGAUUAAGGAGUGUGCUUGUUGUGAUGAGCCCCCCCCGGGUUGUAUGAAAACAUGGAAUGGAAUCACUAUAUUACACACCUGAAACUAAUGUUAUACUGUAUGUUAACUAACUAGAAUUUAAAUGAAAACUUAAGAAAAAAAUAACAUCUUUAUUUUUAUAAAUCUCUAACAGAAAUUUAUCAAUUCCUUCCAUCACUAAUGUAGGCAACAAGUCACAGUAGUUAAUAGUAUCUGUGACUUUGUCACCAAUAGAUAUCCCAAGAAAUAUUUCUAUGUCACACUAUAGCAGUUAAAAGUAUCUUGAAAUAUCAUUUAUUCUCAUACUACUAUGAAAUUAUGGUAGUCACUAGACCUGGUAUUAGAUCUUACUUAGUACCUUAAUAAGGAAGCAUGUAUAUUAUUAUAGCUGACUAUAUAUGCUGACUUAAUAUUUUGAGAACUAUAUUUCAAAGUACUUGGUUCCCAAUUGUACUUUAGCUUUGCAAGUAAAAACAUUAGUCCAAAAAAGAGUCUAUAGACUUCAUCUGACUGCCAAAGGAUCCAUGGUUCAAAAAAGAAAAGCCUAUGGAUUAUUUGGUUUGACACUUCCCUCCAUACUCUCAUGUAUUUUUCCUUGCCAUCCUCCAUAAUCUUUUUUUUUUUUUUCAUCCUCCAUAAUCUUAAAGAGGAUGACAGUGGUGACAGACAUUCAUGUACAUUGAAAUGCCAUCCCUUAGAAGAGCAUGGUAGAUGAUUAAGAGCUUGGGCACUGGGGUCAGCUUGCCCUGCUCUACCACUUACAGUAUGACCCAGGCAAGUUACUUUACUUCUCUGUGCCUCAAAUCUGUAAAAUGGAAUUUUUCCCUCCUCAUAGGGUUGUUGUGAAGAAUAAAUGAGUUAAUCCACUAAUCCAUUAGACUUUGAGAGUCUACCACCCAGUGAGCUCUCAGAAAAUGUUAGCUGCUCUCUCAAGUGCCUGUCAUAGCUGUUUCUUUAUGAUAUUUAUAGGGAGAAGAGAGGAGGAGAGAAAAGAGUAGGUUGUCUAUUCCUCUUGUGAGUCAUUGCCUACACAUAUAACUUUUAUGAUGCACAAAAUUGAUAUUCUUUUUGAAGCACAUGAAGGAAACAGUUGAUAGUUCUUCCUUGAAAAGUUUCCAACUUAAUUUUAUGUUUUAUAUAGUAACUCUCAACUGAAUCUUUUUUAAAGCUUCAGUGGCAGUAUAAAUGUUCUCCUCCCUUGGUUUAUAAAGUAAGACUUUCAUUUAAAUGAUAUUUUCUUUCAUAAAUCACAUUCACUUCUAGGUCCUUUAAGACAUUGGUCUUUUUUUUUUUUUUUUUAAGACAUUGGUCUUAACUGUCAUUUUAGCUGGGAGGGGGGAGAUAUUAAACAUAAAUAGAAGUAGAUUCAUUCAUCCAUUCAAUAAUUAUUAAAUUCCUACUCUGUGCCAGGCACUACUCUAAAUGUAUAGGAAUUUGUGGUGAACAAAUCAGUCUCCACUGCCACGGAGCUUACCUUCUAGUGUAGAAGACAAACAGUGAACUAAAAUAAAAAUUUUAAAGUAUCAGGAAGUGGGCAGCCCCGGUGGCUCAGCAGUUUAGCGCCACCUUCAGCCCGGGCAUGAUCCUGGAGACCUAGGAUUGAGUCCCACGUAGGGCUCUCUGCAUGGAGCCUUCUCCUCCCUCAGCCUGUGUCUCUGCCUCUCUCUCUCUCUCUCUCUGUAUCUCUCAUGAAUAAAUAAAAUCUUUUAAAAAACUGAAUUUCUAAAAAAAAAAAAAAAAAAGUAUCAGGAAGUGAUUGAUGCUUCACAGAGCAUUAAAGUAAAGGGAUGUUAUGUACCUGAGGACCAGGUGACUAUUUUAGAUUGGACAGUCAGGUUAGUUAUCUCUAAGCAGGUGACUUUUUAAAAAAAAGAUUUUUAAGAAUUUAUUUAUAAGAGACAUACAGAGAGAGACAGAGACAUAGGCAGAGGCAGAAGCACACUCCCUGUGGGGAAGGGGAUGCAGGACUUGGUCCCAGGACCCUGGGAUCACGACCUGAUCCAAAGGCAGACACUAAACCACUGAGCCCCUUUUUAAAAUAUUUUAUUUACUUAUCUUAGAGGGAGAGUGUGUGCAGAAGAAGGGGGAGCGGCUGAGGGAGAGAGAGAGAAUCUCAAGCGGAUUCCACCCUGGGCAUAGGGCCCUAUGCAGGGCUGACCCUGAGAUCGUGACCUGUGCUGAAUGCUUGCUUAACCAAUUGAACCAUCAUGCUGCCCUUAAGCAGGUAACAUUUAAGCAGAGAUCUGAAAGCAGGUAACAUUUAAGCAGAGAUCUGAAUGACACAAAGGAGCCAGCCAAACCCAAAGGACAGCAUUCCAGGCAAAGGGAAUAGCUAGUGUAAAGUCAUUAGAGCAGGACUGAACUUACCUGUGCUUAUCUAUGUAGGAAUAGAAAGGCCAGUAUUGCUGAAACAUAGUGAGCAAGGUGCAGAGCCACUCAGGAGAGGUAAACAGGGAUCAGAUAGUGCAAGGCUUUGUAAGUCAAGGCAAGGUUCAUUCUCAGUAAGCUUCUCAAUCAGAAGCUACUACAGCUUUAGUCAGGAGUAAGGUGAUCUGAUUUACCUUUUUUUUUUUUUUUAAAUAAAUACAUCUUUUUGUUUGUUUUUAAAGAAUGAGAGACACACACAGAGAGAGGCAGAAACACAGGCGGAGGGAGAAGCAGGCUCCAUGCAGGGAGUCUGACGUGGGACUCCAUCCUGGGAUUCCAGAAUCACACUCUGGGCCGAACGCAGGCGCCAAACCACUGAGCCACCCGGGCUGCCCUGAUUUACCAUUUAAAAUCACUCCAAUUACUGCUUGGAGAACAAACUUAACAGAGCAAGACUGGAUAAGAGAAGGCCCAUUAAGACUGGUAGCUUGCAACAAAUUGCAGCAGUGAGACAGCAAGGAGGGUCAGUUUAGGCAGUAGGGUAUAUUUUGGAGGUAGAGCAAGUAGAACUCAUUGACUGAAAUGUGAGGAAAUGAGAGGCAUCAAGGAUAACUCUUAACUUUUUGGCCUACGUUCCUGGGCUGAUGGUGCCAAUUAUGGAGAUGGAUGUGGGGGAUGAGAGGAUGGGGAAGUGGGGAACAGAUGUGGAGUAAUAAUUGAGAGUUCUUAAUCUGUGCUUAUCUUAAUUUUGAAUUGUCCAUCCAACAUCCAAAUGGAGAUAUCGAGUAGAUGGCUACACAAAUCUACUUCAGGGGAGAAGUCAGGGACUGGAUAUAUUAAGAAUCAUUGGCCUAAAAAAAAAAAAAGGAAUCAUUGGCCUAGGGAUGCUGGGGUGGCUCAGCGGUUUAGCAUCUGCCCUCAGCCCAGGACCGUGAU
rnacentral:lncRNA from 1 species